AAUGAACGUUGGCGGCGUGGAUUAGGCAUGCAAGUCGUACGCUUCAUGUAGCAAUACAUGAGGAGUGGCGUAAGGGAGAGUAAUGCAUGGUUAGCUACCCUCGGGUCUGGGAUAGCGGCGGGAAACUGCCGGUAAUACCAGAUGAUAUCUUCGGAUCAAACGUGUGAAUCGGCCCGAGGAGGUGACCAUGUCCUAUCAGCUAGUUGGCGGUGUAACGGACCACCAAGGCUAAGACGGGUAUGGGGCGUGAGAGCGUGCCCC
rnacentral:rRNA from 1 species